AUUUAAGUAGUUUAUUUAGAAUAGCAAUUUGUGGUGUUGCUGGAACUAUACAUUAGUCUUAAAUC
rnacentral:tRNA from 1 species